rnacentral:rRNA from 1 species
UACGUAGGGUGCUAGCGUUGUUCGGAAUCACUGGGCGUAAAGCGCGUGUAGGCGGUCCGGUAAGUCCGCUGUGAAAGCCCGGGGCUCAACCCUUGGAUGCCGGUGGAUACUGUCGGGCUUGAGUACGGAAGAGGCGAGUGGAAUUCCUGGUGUAGCGGUGAAAUGCGCAGAUAUCAGGAGGAACACCAAUUGCGAAGGCAGCUCGCUGGGACGUUACUGACGCUGAGACGCGAAAGCGUGGGGAGCAAACAGG